rnacentral:rRNA from 1 species
CCUACGGGGGGCAGCAGUGGGGAAUAUUGGGCAAUGGGGGCAACCCUGAUCCAGCCAUGCCGCGUGUGUGAAGAAGGCCCUCGGGUUGUAAAGCACUUUCAGUGAGGAAGAACGCCUGGUGGUUAAUACCCAUCAGGAAAGACAUCACUCACAGAAGAAGCACCGGCUAACUCCGUGCCAGCAGCCGCGGUAAUACGGAGGGUGCGAGCGUUAAUCGGAAUUACUGGGCGUAAAGCGCGCGUAGGUGGCUUGAUAAGCCGGUUGUGAAAGCCCCGGGCUCAACCUGGGAACGGCAUCCGGAACUGUCAAGCUAGAGUGCAGGAGAGGAAGGUAGAAUUCCCGGUGUAGCGGUGAAAUGCGUAGAGAUCGGGAGGAAUACCAGUGGCGAAGGCGGCCUUCUGGACUGACACUGACACUGAGGUGCGAAAGCGUGGGUAGCAAACAGGAUUAGAUACCCGAGUAGUC